rnacentral:lncRNA from 1 species
CUGUUCCCUAAAAGCGAUGAGAACACAGGUCAAAAAUGUCAAAAUUAACUUUCUCAGAACUCUGGAAAUUAAUCAAAGGCUUGUGAUGAUCCAAGGAGUGUUUAUUCAAGAAAACCAGUUGAAUGUUGCUCCCCUGUCCCCACACAAGAUGGACAUGGACACAGAAGAACUAGACUUGGCCAGGAAGUAUAAUCAGCACCCAAGAUCCAAAGAGCUUAAGUGUUACAAAAUGAUACUCACCAGAGGGACCCAGACAAGAGUUCCUGUUUUAGUUGGCUUCUCUUCAUUGGAAGAAACAGAUUCACUCAAGUGACUUCAAGAAGAAUAGAGUUUAUUAUGAGGAUGCAGGUAAAAGAGCAUUUGUGGGGCCGGGCUCGGUGUCUCACACCUGUAAUCCCAGCACUUUGGGAGGCCAAGGCAGGUGGAUCACAAGGUCAGGAGUUCAAGACC